UACGUAGGGUGCGAGCGUUAAUCGGAAUUACUGGGCGUAAAGCGUGCGCAGGCGGUUAUUUAAGUCAGGUGUGAAAGCCCUGGGCUUAACCUAGGAAUUGCGCUUGAGACUGGAUAGCUUGGAGUGCGGCAGAGGGGGGUGGAAUUCCACGUGUAGCAGUGAAAUGCGUAGAGAUGUGGAGGAACACCGAUGGCGAAGGCAGCCCCCUGGGCUAACACUGACGCUCAUGCACGAAAGCGUGGGGAGCAAACAGG
rnacentral:rRNA from 1 species